AGUUAAUGAACUUGUACAAGUAUAUAUUUUGAAAAUAUAAAAAAGAAAUAAACCUUUCUAUUAACUU
rnacentral:tRNA from 1 species